GGGAGAAGAACAAGAUCUAUCGGCGUUGCCCUUCUUGCAGAGCAAUUGGAAGCGUCUUGUGUUCAAAAUGUAAGGUCUAUAAAUGUGUCACAUUCCCAGAUAUAAAUGAUGGCCUCCAAUGACCAACCAUCAUCUCUCUAUCACCUUAGACUUACUUAAAGUUACAGGAUUCAUUUCAUUUUAAAACAAAUUUCAUGUCUCAAUUAUCUACUUCUUAAAUAUACUCUUUCUUUUUGUCUAUCUGUGUGUAAGUGUGUUUGUUGUCUGAAAUCUUAUUCUGCUCAAGUUGCUCAUCAUGUACACAUACACAAUCGGAAAGUUUAACAAAAGUAUUCCAUUUCGAA